UGUAAAGCUGGGGUGUUAAUGAGG
rnacentral:piRNA from 1 species